rnacentral:tRNA from 1 species
GGGCCGGUAGCUCAGUGGGAGAGCGCCCGCCUCGCACGCGGGAGGUCGGGGGUUCAAAUCCCCCCCGGUCCA